rnacentral:rRNA from 1 species
AUGGCGCAUCUGGCCAGAGGAGAACGGAGCGGCUGCAUCUCCUGGCAACGGCAGUGGGGGCGGGCGAGGUUGCAAGGUGACGGGCUGAGGCGGCUGCGGUGCCAGCGGAUGGAGGAGCCGCUCUCAGGUCGAGUUGGGGCUGGCAAGACUGCAGGGCGACGGCCCCAGGCGGGGGUGCAAGGAUCCGGUCGGUGUGCUGUUGCUGCCGCCGACGGACAGAAGAGGCGCCUUCGGCCGGGUCGAAGUGGCAGCGCUGUCGGUGAUGCCAAGGGCAAGGAAAUGGGCAAGCGAGACCAGAGAGGGAAGGAACAGGGCGUGGCCUCACACUCGUCGUCAGCUUCACCGUUACUUGCAGCUGAAGAAGACAGAUACCAGCAGCCGAUGGCGCCGUCCCAGCUGGUGUUGCUUACCACAGGCUCUGAGGUAUGGUAG